CCGAAUUCGUCGACAACAGAGUUUGAUCCUGGCUCAGGAUGAACGCUGGCGGCGUGCUUAACACAUGCAAGUCGAACGAUGAAGCCCAGCUUGCUGGGUGGAUUAGUGGCGAACGGGUGAGUAACCUACCCUUGACUCUGGGAUAAGCCUGGGAAACUGGGUCUAAUACCGGAUAGGAACGUCCACCGCAUGGUGGUUGUUGGAAAGAUUUAUCGGUCAUGGAUGGACUCGCGGCCUAUCAGCUUGUUGGUGAGGUAAUGGCUCACUAAGGCGUCGACGGGUAGCCGGCCUGAGAGGGUGACCGGCCACACUGGGACUGAGACACGGCCCAGACUCCUACGGGAGGCAGCAGUGGGGAAUAUUGCACAAUGGGCGAAAGCCUGAUGCAGCGACGCCGCGUGAGGGAUGACGGCCUUCGGGUUGUAAACCUCUUUCAGUAGGGAAGAAGCGAAAGUGACGGUACCUGCAGAAGAAGCACCGGCUAACUACGUGCCAGCAGCCGCGGUAAUACGUAGGGUGCGAGCGUUAUCCGGAAUUAUUGGGCGUAAAGAGCUCGUAGGCGGUUUGUCGCGUCUGUCGUGAAAGUCCGGGGCUUAACCCCGGAUCUGCGGUGGGUACGGGCAGACUAGAGUGCAGUAGGGGAGACUGGAAUUCCUGGUGUAGCGGUGGAAUGCGCAGAUAUCAGGAGGAACACCGAUGGCGAAGGCAGGUCUCUGG
rnacentral:rRNA from 1 species